GGCACUAUAGCCAAGUGGUUAAGGCGACAGAUUAGAAUAUUCCAAAUGAGAAUUAUUCAAUCUGUUACUCUCUGAGUGCGCAGGUUCAACUCCUGCUGGUGUCG